UACGUAGGGCGCAAGCGUUAUCCGGAAUUAUUGGGCGUAAAGGGCUCGUAGGCGGUCUGUUGCGUCGGGAGUGAAAACUCAGGGCUUAACCCUGAGCCUGCUUCCGAUACGGGCAGACUAGAGGUAUGCAGGGGAGAACGGAAUUCCUGGUGUAGCGGUGAAAUGCGCAGAUAUCAGGAGGAACACCGGUGGCGAAGGCGGUGAGCUGGGCAGUUGCUGACACUGAGGCGCGACAGCGUGGGGAGCAAACAGG
rnacentral:rRNA from 1 species